AUUAUAUAUCCCGUCUAGCCUGGGAACGCCUCGGAAUCCCCAAGAGGAGCUGGAAAACGUUGCUGGGGAGAGGGACGUCUGGAUUGAUUUACUGCGUUCUCUGCCACCGCGACCCGACCUCAAAUCAGAGGAAGAAAAUGGAGGGAUGGACAGCGCACAUUUCCUGUCCUUUUUUUCGUAUGCCAAAAGACUGUGACGGCCGUGUACUGCCACGAGGAACAACGCCUUUCUGCAUGAUGUUCUGCAUUUGAUGUGAGAGCAUGAUGACUGGAUAUCCGCCUGCAUGCAUCGUCGUUGAACGUUUCCUGUCUGUGAAUCAACUCCCCAUGAAAUAAAAGCUGCUCGCUCUCAUGCU